UGGAGCCAUCGUGAGCCUGGAUCUCCUGGUUCAUGAACAGGCCACUGAGCUCCUUGUACGACUUCCCAUACUGCCUCACCUUAACGCGCACCGGGCCGUGGCGCACGGCUCCAGCGCUGUCCUGGCUGUCGUCUGUGGCCGAGCUGGACCGGCGGCCGCCUUUCUCCGAGCACGUGUCCUUGUCGUCGCUGCUGCGGCGGUCGCGGGAGCUGGCCACCACGGAGCCGGCGACGUUCCGGAUGCCCCGAAGCCAGCUGCUAUGCCGCCGCCGCCGCCGGUGGCGCGUCGCUCCGUUGCUGGAGUCGGAGUUGGAGCGCUGGACGGGGGUGGACGAGCCGGAGCUCGCAACGUUCUCGCGCCGCCGCAUGAGCUCCUGGA
rnacentral:misc_RNA from 1 species